rnacentral:rRNA from 1 species
GACGAACGCUGGCGGCGUGCUUAACACAUGCAAGUCGAACGGAAAGUCCCUGCUUUUGUGGGGUGCUCGAGUGGCGAACGGGUGAGUAACACGUGAGUAACCUGCCCUUGACUUUGGGAUAACUUCAUGAAACUGGGGCUAAUACCGGAUAGGAGCUCCUGCUGCUUGGUGGGGGUGGGAAAGUUUCGGCGGUUGGGGAUGUACUCGCGGCUCAUCAGCUUGUUGGUGGGGUAGUGGAUUACCAAGGCUUUGACGGGUAGCCGGCCUGAGAGGGUGACAGGCCACAUUGGGACUGAACUACGGCCCAGACUCCUACGGGAGGGAGGAGUGGGGAAUAUUGCACAAUGGGCGGAAGCAUGAUGCAGCAACGCAGCGUGCGGGAUGACGGCCUUCGCGUUGUAAACCGAUUUCGCCUGUGACGAAGCGUGAGUGACGGUAAUGGGUAAAGAAGCACCGGCUAACUACGUG